rnacentral:rRNA from 1 species
GUAACGGCUCACCAAACCUUUGACCGGUACGGGCCAUGAGAGUGGUAGCCCGGAGAUGGACACUGAGAUAGGGGUCCAGGCCCUACGGGGCGCAGCAGGCGCGAAAACUCCACACUGUACGUAAGUACGAUGGGGUUACCUCGAGUGUAGUCUGUAAAAGAUUGCUUUUCCAUAGAGUAAUAUCCUGUGGGAAUAAGAGGGGGGCAAGACUGGUGUCAGCCGCCGCGGUAACACCAGCCCCUCGAGUGGUAGGGACUUUUAUUUGGCCUAAAGCGUUCGUAGCCGUCUGUAACCGUUGCCCGUUAAAUCCAGCGUCUCAAGCGUUGGACUGCGGGCGAUACCUUACAGAUUGAGGGUGGGAUAGGUAAGCGGUAUUUCUGGGGUAGGGGCGAAAUCCUUUGAUCCCAGGAGGACCACCAGUGGCGAAGGCUGCUUACUAGAACACGCCUGACGGUGAGGAACGAAAGCUGGGGUAGCGAACCGGAUUAGAUACCCGGGUAGUCCCAGCUGUAAACGAUGCGCGCUAGGUGUUGGGUCGGCCAUGCGCCGCCCCAGUGCCGCAGGGAAGCCGUUAAGCGCGCCGCCUGGGGAGUACGGCCGCAAGGCUGAAACUUAAAGGAAUUGGCGGGGGAGCAC